UACGUAGGCAGCGAGCGUUGUUCGGAAUUACUGGGCGUAAAGAGUGUGUAGGCGGUGCUCUAAGUUCGGUGUGAAAUCUCUCGGCUUAACUGGGAGGGUGCGCCGGAAACUGGAGUGCUCGAACGUGGGAGAGGAAAGCGGAAUUCCUGGUGUAGCGGUGAAAUGCGUAGAUAUCAAGAGGAACACCUGCGGCGAAGGCGGGUUGCUGGGCCGACACUGACGCUGAGGCGCGAAAGCUAGGGGAGCGAACGGG
rnacentral:rRNA from 1 species